GACAGCAGUGUGAACAUUCAGCAAAGCGAGUCACGGCAACCUCAAACUUGGAAGCCAUGCACGUGCCCGACAAGAGAAAAGUGAAUAAACUGAGGGAUUUCUCCACCCUGAGUGAGAUACCCCACACCACUGAGAACACACCAUCUACGCUUUGGCAAGCAGAAGAAGCCAGAGUUACAACAAUAUAGACUGCUGAGCACACAGCUAAUGAGACUGGUCUCGUUCAUCGUCUUUACCUUCACCACCAUCUUCUUCAUCAUGACCUACAUCAGCACCAAUACCAAGGCUUCCUACUGCUCCUCACUACAUACAAGGGGAGGAGCUGGAGACCGAGCUGAAGUAACUUGUGCACGGCCACACAACUCAUCAAGUGAGCAUUACUGUUUUAUGCUCUGAAAAC